UAGUAUUAACAAAAUUUGUGCCAGCAGUUGCGGUUAUUCAGAUAAUACAAUUAAAAUUUAUUAGUUAAUAAUAAAUUAUUUUUAAUUAAUUUAGUAAUAAAUUUAUUAAGUGAAAUUUUAAAUUUAUUUAAAUUAAAAAUAAAUUUUUGAUUUAUGAAAUUUUUAUUUAAACUAGGAUUAGAUACCCUAUUAU
rnacentral:rRNA from 1 species